rnacentral:tRNA from 1 species
GAGGUUGUGGCUCAGCGGUAGAGCGCUUGUCCAGCACAUGUGAGGCACUGGGUUUGAUCCUCAGCACCACA